AUUGAACGCUGGCGGCAUGCCUUACACAUGCAAGUCGAACGGCAGCACGGGAGCAAUCCUGGUGGCGAGUGGCGAACGGGUGAGUAAUAUAUCGGAACGUGCCCGGUCGUGGGGAUAACGUAGCGAAAGCUACGCUAAUACCGCAUACGAUCUACGGAUGAAAGCGGGGGAUCGCAAGACCUCGCGCGAUUGGAGCGGCCGAUAUCAGAUUAGGUAGUUGGUGAGGUAAAGGCUCACCAAGCCGACGAUCUGUAGCUGGUCUGAGAGGACGACCAGCCACACUGGGACUGAGACACGGCCCAGACUCCUACGGGAGGCAGCAGUGGGAAUUUUGGACAAUGGGCGCAAGCCUGAUCCAGCAAUGCCGCGUGCAGGAUGAAGGCCUUCGGUUGUAACU
rnacentral:rRNA from 1 species